UUGUAUAAAAACAGUGCGUAUAUAUAAAGUUAUUCAGUUAGCAGCAGUCAGACAACUGUGGGGAUGUAUCCACAGAUGAAUGCAAUCUUAAUGCAUUUUAUCUACUAAAUUCAUCUCAUAUUU
rnacentral:snoRNA from 1 species